rnacentral:rRNA from 1 species
UGGGGAAUAUUGCACAAUGGGCGAAAGCCUGAUGCAGCAACGCCGCGUGAAGGAUGAAGGGUUUCGGCUCGUAAACUUCUAUCGACAGGGACGAAAAAAAUGACGGUACCUGAAUAAGAAGCCCCGGCUAACUACGUGCCAGCAGCCGCGGUAAUACGUAGGGGGCAAGCGUUAUCCGGAAUUACUGGGUGUAAAGGGUGAGUAGGCGGUAGUACAAGUCAUAUGUGAAAUCCCCGAGCUUAACUCGGGGGGUGCAUAAGAAACUGUAUUACUAGAGUACAGGAGAGGUAAGCGGAAUUCCUAGUGUAGCGGUGAAAUGCGUAGAUAUUAGGAAGAACACCAGUGGCGAAGGCGGCUUACUGGACUGAAACUGACGCUGAGUCACGAAAGCGUGGGGAGCAAACA